rnacentral:tRNA from 1 species
GGUCUUGUAUUCAUUUAAUGAUAUUAGAAUGCAAUUCUAAUGGUGUAUAAAAGUUACUAAGGCUU